UAAUGUCCGUGAAUCCUACCUGU
rnacentral:misc_RNA from 1 species